rnacentral:rRNA from 1 species
AUUGAACGCUGGCGGCAUGCCUUACACAUGCAAGUCGAACGGUAACGCGGGGCAACCUGGCGACGAGUGGCGAACGGGUGAGUAAUGUAUCGGAACGUGCCCAGUUGGGGGGGAUAACUGCUCGAAAGAGCAGCUAAUACCGCAUACGACCUGAGGGUGAAAGCGGGGGAUCGCAAGACCUCGCGCAAUAGGAGCGGCCGAUAUCAGAUUAGGUAGUUGGUGGGGUAAAGGCUCACCAAGCCAACGAUCUGUAGCUGGUCUGAGAGGACGACCAGCCACACUGGGACUGAGACACGGCCCAGACUCCUACGGGAGGCAGCAGUGGGGAAUUUUGGACAAUGGACGCAAGUCUGAUCCAGCCAUGCCGCGUGCGGGAAGAAGGCCUUCGGGUUGUAAACCGCUUUUGUCAGGGAAGAAACGCUCCGAGUUAAUACCCUUGGGGGGAUGACGGUACCUGAAGAAUAAGCACCGGCUAACUACGUGCCAGCCGCCGCCGUAACAC